rnacentral:rRNA from 1 species
GACGAACGCUGGCGGCGUGCUUAACACAUGCAAGUCGAACGGAAAGGCCCUGCUUUUGUGGGGUGCUCGAGUGGCGAACGGGUGAGUAACACGUGAGUAACCUGCCCUUGACUUUGGGAUAACUUCAGGAAACUGGGGCUAAUACCAGAUAGGAGCUCCUGCUGCAUGGUGGGGGUUGGAAAGUUUCGGCGGUUGGGGAUGGACUCGCGGCUUAUCAGCUUGUUGGUGGGGUAGUGGCUUACCAAGGCUUUGACGGGUAGCCGGUCUGAGAGGGUGACCGGCCACAUUGGGACUGAGAUACGGCCCAGACUCCUACGGGAGGCAGCAGUGGGGAAUAUUGCACAAUGGGCGGAAGCCUGAUGCAGCAACGCCGCGUGCGGGAUGACGGCCUUCGGGUUGUAAACCGCUUUCGCCUGUGACGAAGCGUGAGUGACGGUAAUGGGUAAAGAAGCACCGGCUAACUACGUG